rnacentral:rRNA from 1 species
ACUUUACAAUGCUGGCAACAGCGAUAAGGGAACCUCGAGUGCCAGGUUACAAAUCUGGCUGUCGAGAUGCCUAAAAAGCAUUUCAUAGCAAGGGCCGGGCAAGACCGGUGCCAGCCGCCGCGGUAACACCGGCGGCUCGAGUGGUAACAGUUAUUAUUGGGUCUAAAGGGUCUGUAGCCGGCCGGAUAAGUCUCUUGAGAAAUCUGGCAGCUUAACUGUCAGGCUUUCAGGAGAUACUGUCUGGCUCGAGGCCGGGAGAGGUGAGAGGUACUUCAGGGGUAGGGGUGAAAUCUUGUAAUCCUUGAAGGACCACCAGUGGCGAAGGCGUCUCACCAGAACGGACCUGACGGCAAGGGACGAAAGCUAGGGGCACGAACCGG